rnacentral:misc_RNA from 1 species
GAUGAAGAACGCAGCGAAAUGCGAUAAGUAAUGUGAAUUGCAGAAUUCAGUGAAUCAUCGAAUCUUUGAACGCACAUUGCGCCCGCCAGUAUUCUGGCGGGCAUGCCUGUUCGAGCGUCAUUUCAACCAUCAAGCCCCAGGCUUGUGUUGGGGACCUGCGGCUGCCGCAGGCCCUGAAAACCAGUGGCGGGCUCGCUGUCACACCGGGCGUAGUAGAUUUUAUCUCGCUCUGGGCGUGCUGCGGGUUCCGGCCGUUAAAAAACCCUUUUAACCCAAGGUUGACCUCGGAUCAGGUAGGAGUACCCGCUGAACUUAAGCAUAUCAAUAAGCGGAGGA